rnacentral:lncRNA from 1 species
CCUGCUGGAGAGACCAUGUGGAGGCCCGCAGUCUACUCUCAUCCACUAGCCCUGUCCAACAUGGUGCUAGUAAAUAGCACAAAGAAACUUUGUGCCUUGUGGCUUUGCUAGCAGCAGCAUGUCUGGCAAGAGCCUUUCUUUUCUCCUGGGGAGUAGUAGUGCAGAGAUGAAGAUGAGAAGUUCAAACCAUGCUGAUUCUUUUUUUUCUACAAGAAAGGAACUGCAAAUUAUGCCUCGCAGCUUCUAGAUGCAUAGAACAAACAGACUGCUGAAAGUGUAAACAGGAAACUGCAUUUCUGGCAAGGAGUUCG